rnacentral:rRNA from 1 species
UAGGGAAUAUUAGAAAUGGACGAAAGUCUGAUCUAGCAACACCGCGUGUGCGAAGAAGGCCUUCGGGUCGUAAAGCACUUUUUGGAAGGAAUAGGAAGGAAUGUACUUCCAAAAUAAGUCUCGGCUAACUACGUGCCAGCAGCCGCGGUAACACGUAGGAGGCAAACGUUAUCCGGAUUUACUGGGCGUAAAGCGCGUGUAGGUGGUACUGUAAGUAGGGCGUGAAAGCUCCUGGCUCUACUGGGAGAGGCCGUUCUAAACUACAGAACUAGAGGAUGGUAGAGGGAGGUGGAAUUCCAGGUGUAGCGGUGGAAUGCGCAGAUAUCUGGAGGAACACCGGUGGCGAAGGCGGCCUCCUGGACCAUUCCUGACACUCAGACGCGAAAGCUAGGG